GACGAACGCUGGCGGCGUGCCUAAUACAUGCAAGUCGAAAGAAGUGGGGACGGGUGAGUAACACGUGGGUAACCUCCCAUCAGAGGGGAUAAAACUUGGACACAGGUGCUAAACCGAUAUUGGUGGAUGGACUCGCGGUGCGUUAGCUAGUGGGUGACGUAACGGCUCACCAAGGCCACGAUGGAUAGCCGACCUGAGGGGGGGAUCGGCCACACGGGGACUGGGACACGGCCCAGACUCCGACGGGAGGCAGCAGUAGGGAAUCUUCGGCAAUGGACGAAAGUCUGACCGAGCAACGCCUCGUGGGUGAAGAAGGUUUUCGGAUCUUAAAACUCUGUUGUUAGAGAAGCGGUAUCUAACCAGAAAGCCACGGCUAACUACGUGCCAGCAGCCGCGGUAAUUC
rnacentral:rRNA from 1 species